GACGAACGCUGGCGGCGUGCUUAACACAUGCAAGUCGAACGGAAAGGCCCUGCUUUUGUGGGGUGCUCGAGUGGCGAACGGGUGAGUAACACGUGAGUAACCUGCCCUUGACUUUGGGAUAACUUCAGGAAACGGGGGCUAAUACCGGAUAGGAGCUCCUGCUGCAUGGUGGGGGUUGGAAAGUUUCGGCGGUUGGGGAUGGACUCGCGGCUUAUCAGCUUGUUGGUGGGGUAGUGGCUUACCAAGGCUUUGACGGGUAGCCGGCCUGAGAGGGUGACCGGCCACAUUGGGACUGAGAUACGGCCCAGACUCCUACGGGAGGCAGCAGUGGGGCAUAUUGCACAAUGGGCGGAAGCCUGAUGCAGCAACGCCGCGUGCGGGAUGACGGCCUUCGGGUUGUAAACCGCUUUCGCCUGUGACGAAGCGUGAGUGACGGUAAUGGGUAAAGAAGCACCGGCUAACUACGUG
rnacentral:rRNA from 1 species